rnacentral:misc_RNA from 1 species
UGGAGCGGUCGUUCUUGCCGAGCUUCAUGACGGAGCCCUUGCCGAACUGGCGCUCGAUCUGGGAGAGCGCGGCCGACAGGGCCUUGGUCUUGUCCAUGGACGAUCCUUCAACGAUACGCAGGGCGGCGGGGGCCAUCUGAUGCUCCUCUUAUGUAUGGGAUUCGCCUGCCGGACAAACGGCUUCCCAGGGUCGGCGGACCGGAAUCGGUGGUGAUCCGAUGGAAA